CGAACGUGGGUAACCUGCCCAUCAGAGGGGGAUAACAUUCGGAAACGGAUGCUAAAACCGCAUAGGUCUUCGAACCGCAUGGUUUGAAGAGGAAAGAGGCGCAAGCUUCUGCUGAUGGAUGGACCCGCGGUGCAUUAGCUAGUUGGUGAGGUAACGGCUCACCAAGGCCGUGAUGCAUAGCCGACCUGAGAGGGUGAUCGGCCACAUUGGGACUGAGACACGGCCCAA
rnacentral:rRNA from 1 species